UUUUUUUUUUUUUUUUUUUUCCCCUUUUUCUUUUUUCAGCCACACCCGUGACACACCGUGACAUAUGGAGGUUCCCAGGCUAGGGGUUGUAUCUGAAUUGCAGCCGCCAGCCUACACCACAGCCAUGGCAAUGAGGGGUCCAAGCUGUGCCUGUGACCUACACCACAGCUCAGGGCAACACCAGAUCCUUAACCCACCGAGGGAGGCCAGGGAUCGAACCCACAUCCUCAUGGAUACUAGUCAGGUUCUUAACCCGCUGGGCCACAAUGGGAGCUCCUGGGCUGCUGUUUUUAUGUGAAUGCUCUAGUCGGUUUAGCCCGAGCAGCCUGGAGAAGAGGGGAGGAAGGAGGAAAGAAAGAGCGGGGAGUGGUGUGAGGAGGGGUCUGUGGGCUGCGAGGAACGAGGGUCCUGAAGGGAGGCCUUCCGAGCAAGGGUGCGGGGAAAGCAGCCCCGGGAACUAACACAGUGGGAGCUUCCUUAGCGAUUAGGAAGUCACAUCUGGUGGCCACUGUUCUGUGAUCCACCUUUUUGGAAGCAAGAGCCUUGAUGAUACCUUCAGGUCAGCAAAGAGAGUAUUCUUACUCUUCAAGAGAGCGGAUCAAGGGAAAAGUCAAAGAUGGUGUAAAUUCAAGCUUUCCUGCUCGGAGGAAAGGGAGACGGUGCUUUACGCAGGAGAUUUGCCUUCCAAGUGUAAACGAUUAGCCUUCCUGUGAAGGGUUUCCAGUCUCAGGGAAGGUACCUGAUAAGCUGGAGACUUUACUGACAAAAACAUGCAUACAGGGAGUUCCCGUGGUGGCUCAGCAGGUUAAAAACCCAACUAGUAUCCAUGAGGAUGCGGGUUCGAUCCCUGGCCUCGCUCCGUGGGUUAAGGAUCUGGUGUUGCCAUGAGCUGUGGAGUAGGUGGCAGACGUGGCUUGGAUCCCACAUGGCUGUGGCUGUGGCUGUGGCGGAGGCCGGUGGCUGCAGCUCUGAUCUGACCCCUAGCCUGGGCACUUCCAGAUGCCGUGGGUAUGGCCCUAAAAAGCAAAAACAAAAAGAGAACGACCAUACAGUCCAUCCCUCCCAGUUCUGGGCAUUUUUAUGAAGAAACCAAAAACCACUGACCUGACGAGAUAUGUGCACCACUUGUUCACGGUAGCAGCAUUUGUAACAGCCCACAUCUGUGAGUGGCUGCGCGGAUAAAGGGAAGUGUAUGUAUGCGCCAUGGCAUAUUAUUUAACCGUAGCAAAGAAUGAAAACUUGCCGUUCCCUGUGACCACGUGGCUGGACCUUGAGGCCACCAUGCUAAGUGAAGUGAGUCAGACGGAGAGAGACAGAUGCCACACGAUCUCACUCUUACGUGGCAUCUAAAAAACAGAAACCAAACCCCCAAACCAAGCGAGUGCAUGCAAGGAAUAAAUCAGUGGUUGUGAGAGGUGGGAGGUGGGAGUGAGUGCAAUACGUAAAGGGGUCGAAAGGGACAGACUUCUGGGUACAAGAUAAAGACGUCACAUGUGUGGGAUGUCAUGUAUCGCCUGGCGACUCUCCUAACAGUAUCGUGUUGCAUAUGCAGAAGCUGCUAAGAGUAGAUCCUCAAAGUUCUCUCGCACAAGAAAAAAAAAUGUAUAGCCCUGAAAGAUGACAGCUGUGAGUUACAUCAUCUCACAGUGACUCUGGUACACCUGCGCCAACUGAAUGUUGUAUGCCAGCUAUAUUUAACUUUUAAAAAAGAUGCAAGCAUGCUAGAUUAGGUUGGACUCUAGAUAUAAUGACCGGUGGUGUUUUUUAAGUGCCUCUGAGAUACUUGUUUAUUUACUUAAAUUUUAUUGG
ensembl:lncRNA